CAAUAGCGUAUAUUAAAGUUGUUGCGGUUAAAAAGCUCGUAGUUGGAUUUCUGCCGAGGACGACCGGUCCGCCCUCUGGGUGUGUAUCUGGUUUGGCCUGGGCAUCUUCUUGGAGAACGUAGCUGCACUUGACUGUGUGGUGCGGUGUCCAGGACUUUUACUUUGAGGAAAUUAGAGUGUUUCAAGCAGGCACACGCCUUGAAUACAUUAGCAUGGAAUAAUAAGAUAGGACCUCGGUUCUAUUUUGUUGGUUUGUUGGGACUGAGUAAUGAUUAAGAGGGACAGUUGGGGGCAUUUGUAUUUCGUCGCUAGAGGUGAAAUUCUUAGAUUGACGAAAGACAAACUGCUGCGAAAGCGUCUGCCAAGGAUGUUUUCAUUGA
rnacentral:rRNA from 1 species